UCUGUGCCGGUUGGCUCUUUUGGUAUCUACGCUCCGUCUCCAGCCUGGACAGCCACUGCCACUGCCGUCUCUUCACCACUCUCCACUCUCUACUAUACACGCUCACACCCAAAGCAGACAACAGACGCACAGCCAGCCGCCAGUCAGUGCAAAUGUUAAACAAAGACAACACAAAACGAAAGAAAAAACAGUAACAGUGCAAAAGAAAAGUGCGAAAAGUGAACAUUAAAUCGAGUCGAAAAUAAAACAACAACACACAGCCCAGCCAGACAAUGCGUCAUUCGCUCAUUCACUCAAUCAGAAAUAAAAGCUCUGCUAUCGCAGUUCAGACACACUCACACAUGCAUGCAGUUGAACAGUUACAAUUACAAAGUGCGAAUCGGCUGGCCAGACAUCUCACCUCACACACACACGCAGAGAUAGCAGCGGCAGACAUCAGCGGCAGAGGCUGACUGCAGACUACAGUUAUCAGAAUGCGAGCCCCAGACUGAGACUCAGACGCCGCUGCCGGCGCUACACUGCCGUCGCCUGGCACCGUCUGGAAUUUGUAUUUCCCCAUAUGCACACACACACACAAUACACAACUGAGAGAAGCAGUGGCAGCCACGGCUAACCGGAUGUGGCACACACUCUGGACCACGGCACAGGCACGAGCAGCCAUCUUUGUCAUCUUUCGAAUCUCAGCCUUGGCUAAGGUUGCUCCUGUCCUCCCAUCGGGCAGCACAAGCAGCAACAGAGUGAGACAGAGACAGAGUAACACAGAGAGAGAGAGAGCUAAGAGCUAAGAGGUACCGUGAAGUCAUAAAUUUAUAACAAACGCUAGACUCCACUCCACUACACUCCGUCCCGAGUGGACCGACUGACUGGUUUGGCGUGUUGGCCAGGCCAAAAUGGAUUUUUUACGGCCCCGAAUAAACAACAACAGAAUCGAGAGCUUAAAAAAGCCGCAACUGAAGUUCACAGAAACAGCAGAAGUCGAAUUUCUGAAUGAUCUCUGGGGCUCGUUUCGGAAACAAAUGAAAAAGAAACUCACACUCUGAAAGAGAAUCCGAUGUUUCUCCGGCUGCUGCUCGUCGCUCCUGCUCCUGGCUGCUGCUCGUCGCUCCUGCUCCUGGCUCCUGCUCGUCGCUCCUGCUCCUGGCUCCUACUGUUGGCUCUGGCAAAUUCCAGAUGAGGCCAUGCUGCAUGCCACACAGGACGCACUCUCACCCACUCAACCACUCACCGACACACUCACACAGACCAUCCCACCCUCCACACUUGUACACGUAGGCACUUCCGGAAUGGAUGGCCCCGACUUGACUUGGCUUGACUCUCCUUCGUUCUUCGGCGGCUCCGGGAUCUUGGGGCAUGUCAUGGAGCAUGGAAACUUGACUUGGACGCUUCAGAUUCGUUAACGGCCGCUGCAGACAGUGCGGAUGUUAUGGACGUCAUGGACAUCAGAUGGUCUGGCCUCUGGAUCUUGGUAUCAGCGCAAUCCCGAGGGAGCCCAGGAUUGGAGCAGGCUGACUUGUCAACAGAGGCACGCCUAAUGUCCUUUUGAAAGGAUCCAGAUCCUCCCCGGCCAACGGAUGUCCACUGCAGCGGCGCCAGCCAUUGAUAAAUUAUCAUGUGAGCAGCAGAAGGAUGCAGAUGGCAGCUGCAGCAAAUGAUGCUGCAUAGAACUAACCCUCUUCCUACCUUCCUUCCGUUCUGCCGCUCAGGAGCCCAGCAGUCCAGCAGCCCCACCUGCGGCGACUUUUAAUCUAUUUUAAAUGUGCAACGGUAAUGGUACGGUGCGACCGGACGAUGGUUCACAACGACCGUGUCUCUUAAACUGGUCGGUGGGACUUUCGUCCGUUUGUAACGCCAUUUGUCAGCGAUUUAUCAUCAUCGUCGGGCCCCAGUGCUCGUAUCGGAUUAUUUAUGAUCCCACCUUGUCGGAUGUUGUUCCCCGCAUCUGCUAUUUAUAAUGUCUAGCGAUAGUAUAAUUAAUUGAUUGACAAUUUCAUAAUUUCCCUGAUUCAUAAUUGAUCAAAUAAACGA